CGUCCCGUCCUGUCCGCCCACCGUCGCCCUGUACGUACAAAGGAAACUUCGGUCGCAUCCUCCGGCGGUACCCCCGCGGUGUGUCCGUGAGUAUGGAAACAGCCAGCGCGGAGAUGAAGGAUGUUUCAUUUUCUGAGCUCAGCUUAUCGUAUCUGGGUCUGAAAUUCAGGAGGGGGCGUAUGUUUAAGUGGUUUAAAGAGUCUUCGGCACUCAUUUGAAAGGCAAAAGGACCAGAGGACGAGAUCUAAAGCGUGAGCACCCCCAGCAGUGUGAUAAGGAGUGGUGUAAGGAGUGAAACGGUCACUGGGUGGUCCUGGAAACUGAUUUCUUCUCUUGAACUCUUCUGCAUUUCAGCAGCUCCCUACGAAUGUGUUAGAGCCUCUGCUGGCAUCAACUGACAUGGCUCAGCGGAGGAAAUCAACUCAGCUGUAUCUUUGGUACAAUGAAUACCUUACCAGGAAUCACAUCUAUCUUUCAGGUGUGCUGCUCUGUGUUGUGACUACACUCCGGUGUUUCAUUCUCCAAAUCCUCUUGAUCACCCUACCAAAUAAGCUGGUCACUUUGUCACCGGACUGAUGUGCACUGCUAGAGAGUGGCCAUGCAUCUAACUACAGUGGUGGACAUCUUCCCAUGUUGGGUGAAAUAGCUUCAUGGCAAUAGCCAAUAUUUGAAGAAACAGCCCUAAAAAUGCCAUGUCCCAGGCAAAGGUCAAAGUGAUGAGUGAAAAACACUCAAAUUAGUCCCACAAAGUCCAUCAGAGGAUUCCUUUUUUAGGCAUCCGUGUUUGUGGAAGAUUGGAGCCAUGGCUUAUGAUUCUCUGAAACAACUUUUAGACUUGGGAGGCAUACUGAGUCUUUAGGAAAGUCAAUGAGAAGGGCAAUGUCAUCUGAAUGCCCUGUUUGCAGCAUAUUGUCUUUCAGACCAAUCAAUCUCUUGCGAGUACAAGAGCAGAGCUGUCCCCAAGCAGCAGAAGGUAGCACUCGAAUGGGCACAAUGGAAGCCUGCUUUCAGUCAGAAUGAUUUACUGUUGUCACAAAUGGUGAGAACACCAUUUUUACAACCAAGGAAUCUGAUGGUUACAGUUUUGCUUCUCUGCCCGAGAUUAUGUAAGGCAGAGAAUGUUUCUGUAUCCCAGCUAACGUAAAGGAAACAAAUCACACAUUUCUAAUGUGCCAGAAAUGGAUAGGCAGUUCAAUAGCUGCGGAUCCAAUUCCUUCUGAUUGUCAGUUUCUACUCUAUCCCCAGAUUUUGUUUAAUCAUUUAAAAGAGCACUGGUACCAAUUUCCUCCCCGUUUAAAGGGUUCUGGCUGCUUGCUUACUUCCCCCAUAAUGUGUUUCAAGAGCACAGUGGUGUCUCCAAGCAAAGGCAAACAGUAUAUGAAAUCAGAAUAAACCAGGAUGACCCAUUUUAGGUCAUCUGCUGUAGUCUUCUGAUUGCGAGAGCAAUUACUGUACCUGUAGUGGUUCUUUUCUUGGAAUGGGGCUGAAAGUCGUGAGCAGGUGAAGCAUCACUUGUUCUCUUCAGGGAGCAACCUAGUAUGGUCUGCUAUACACGAAGCUCCUGCACAGGUCUCUUGAACUGCCUCAUCUUAUUCUGUUAAUGCUAUUACAGCUUGUGGCCCUCUAUUAACCACCCUAAACAAUCUCCUUCCUUUUCACAUGGAUGUAACUUGAGAUGGGAGUGUUUUGUUGGCCGAAGCAAAACCGUGGCCCCAGGACCAUGACUGGAGCCCGUUGCUGAGAAUGAGGGACACUGUUUUUAAAACAAGGUUGGCACUAGCCACUGGGAAGUGCCACAAUCACUCCUCUGGGUGCUGCUUCUUAAUACCUGCAG